GAUGAAGAACGCAGCGAAAUGCGAUAAUUAAUGUGAAUUGCAGAAUUCCGUGAAUCAUCGAGUCUUUGAACGCACAUUGCGCCUCAUGGUAUUCCGUGAGGCAUGCCCAUUUCAGCGUUAGAAAAUAUUCUCAAAUUUUAGUUUUGUGCUAAAAUUUGGAUCAUGUCAAAGAAACUAUUACUAUUAUUGUGAUCGCUCUUUGGAAAUUGAUAGGUCUUUGAGUUGCUACUCAUAGAACGUGAUGAAUCUUUCUUCGUUCUAUUGUAAUUCACUCUGGUAGUCCUAAAACUUGUAUGCCUGUGGCAUAUCUUGUAAUUUGACCUGAGAUUGGGUAGGGAUACCCGCUGAACUUAAGCAUAUCAAUAAGCGGAGGA
rnacentral:misc_RNA from 1 species